ensembl:snoRNA SNORD27 Small nucleolar RNA SNORD27
UGUAAAUGAUGAUCCUCAAAGACAAGCAUAUGUCUGAUUUUUGGUGAUGCUAACUUUGAUCUGAUGGCC